AUCCAGCUGGCGAGUCCCGAAUAGGACGAAACGCGCGUCCUGAAU
rnacentral:hammerhead_ribozyme from 1 species